rnacentral:rRNA from 1 species
UACGGAGGAUCCAAGCGUUAUCCGGAUUUAUUGGGUUUAAGGGGUGCGUAGGCGGCGCGUUAAGUUAGAGGUGAAACCCCGGUGCUCAACACCGGAACUGCCUCUGAUACUGGCGUGCUAGAGUAUAGUUGCUGUGGGCGGAAUGUAUGGUGUAGCGGUGAAACGCUUAGAGAUCAUAUAGAACACCGAUUGCGAAGGCAGCUCACAAAGCUAUUACUGACGCUGAGGCACGAAAGCGUGGGGAGCAAACAGG